rnacentral:rRNA from 1 species
AUUGAACGCUGGCGGCAGGCCUAACACAUGCAAGUCGAGCGGAGCGGCGGACGGGUGAGUAAUGCCUAGGAAUCUGCCUGGUCGUGGGGGAUAACGUCCGGAAACGGGCGCUAAUACCGCAUACUAUCAGAUGAGCCUAGGUCGGAUUAGCUAGUUGGUGGGGUAAAGGCCUACCAAGGCGACGAUCCGUAACUGGUCUGAGAGGAUGAUCAGUCACACUGGAAAUGAGACACGGGCCAGACUCCUACGGGAGGAAGCAUUGGGGAAUAUUGGACAAUGGGGGAAAGCCUGAACCAGCCAUGCCGCGGGGGUGAAGAAGGUCUUCGGAUUGUAAAGCACUUUAAGUGGGGAGGCGGUAACUACAGAAUAAGGAACGGCUAACUUCGUGCCAGCAGCCGCGGUAAUUC